UUGAUACCAAAGACAAAACACCCUGAAAAUAUAAGCCAGUUCAGACCGAUCAGUUUAUGCAAUUUCAGCUAUAAAAUCAUCUCCAAAGUUCUGGCCAACAGGUUGAAGAGUUACCUCCCGGAAAUCAUCGAGCCUGAACAGGGUGCCUUUGUCCAAGGACGCCAAAUCCAGGAUAAUAUCCUCAUCGUCCAAGAAGUUUUACAUCACCUGCGAACCACCAAAAAGAAGAAGAAAUCUCAGGCUGUCUUAAAACUGGAUAUGCAAAAGGCUUAUGACAGAAUUGAAUGGGAUUUUCUAAGAGAUUGCAUGCUACAAAUGGGAUUUUGUGAGAGGUGGGUACACCUAAUUAUGCAAUGUGUUACUACGGUGUCCUUGAGUGUUCUUAUCAACGGGGAACCAUCUCAGUUUUUUACUCCUUCGCGAGGCCUUAGGCAAGGAGAUCCCCUCUCGCCAUAUCUCUUUAUCCUAGCAGCAAAUGUUCUGACAUGGAUGAUGAAGAAAGCCACAAAUGAAGGCAGUAUUAAGGGGAUAACCCUCAACAGGUUCUGCCCUACUCUAACACAUCUAUUGUUUGCAGAUGAUGCAAUAUUUUUUCUUGACGGAACUCUUAUUGAAUGCCAAAACAUAGCCAAUAUCCUUCAUCAAUACUGUUAUGCAACAGGGCAAGCCAUUAAUUUAAACAAAUCAGGGGUCUUCUUUAGCAGAAAUUGCCCUCCACCCUUGAAAAGAAACUUAGCAACCGAACUCAGAGUUCCCCUUAUCGAAAAAACAGGUAAAUACCUUGGCAUUCCAACAGAAUGGGGGAAUACUAAAAAAGAGAUGUUUGCUUGGGUAUUGGCACGAGUUAACUCGAAGUUAGCAGGCUGGAAAGAACAAUUACUAACAAAAGUGGGCAAAGAAGUUCUGAUUAAAAGCGUUGUACAAGCAAUUCCCACUUAUGCUAUGUCAGUUUUUAAACUCCCUAUCUCAAUAUGUCGAGCUAUAGAACGAAGGAUUGCAGCUUUUUGGUGGCAGAAAGGUGAGGCACACAGAGGCUUGCAUUGGAAAAAAUGGGAAGUAUUAAAAACCAGGAAGGAUGAGGGUGGUUUGGGAUUCAAAGACUUGAUUAAUUUUAACAGGGCCAUGCUUGGAAAGCAAGCAUGGCGACUAGCUAACUCCCCUUCAGACCUGUGGAGCAGAAUUUUGAAAGGUAUUUACUAUCCAAAUGGGGAUCUAUGGAAGGCAAACAAAGGUUCGCGGUCGUCUUGGGGAUGGCAAAGUAUUCUAACGGGUAGAGAUAACAUAGCAGCAGAAGUCAAGUGGAAAGUGGGGGAUGGAAAAUCUAUAAAAAUCAGAGAAGAUCGAUGGCUCCAGUCGGGUGUGUUAGGUGGCCCAGCAAAUCAGCAUGACCCUAUUAUGGUAUCAGACCUGAUCAAUGAAGAUUUGAGAACCUGGAAGGAACCUCUAAUACUUAACACUUUUGAGGAAACUACGGCAAAUGAAAUUUUGGCGAUGGACCUCAGCACACGCCCAAAAAAUGAUAGUCUUGUGUGGACAGGAAAUAAAACAGGCCACUAUACGGUGAAGAGUGGCUAUAACCGAGCCUCAUCCCCCUCUACCAGAACUGAUAUAAACAGAGCAUCUUCUUCUUUCACCCCCCCAAGAGCUCUGUGGACAAAAAUCUGGACUAUUUCUAUACCCCCAAAACAGAGAAUCUUUUUAUGGAGUUUGUGUCAAAAUGCUAUACCUACAAGGGAGAACUUGUACAAAAGGCGAAUACUUCCUGAUCCAUUAUGCCCUAUUUGUUCUAACCACAUGGAAACUGUAGAACAUUUAUUUCUGCUGUGCAAAUGGACAACAUCUAUCUGGGCUGACCCUCGCUUGAACAUUAUCAGCCAUCCCAACAACAUCAAGCGGUUUGAUUUGUGGCUUAUGGAGGUUUUUAGCAUAAAGAAAGGCUUACCGGAGCAAGAACUCAUCGCGACUGUCCUCUGGAACAUCUGGAAGUCCCGGAAUCACUUCAUUUUCAGAGCCAAACCCCUGCAACCAGCAGAUCUCGUGGAUCUUGCUCAAGAACAGCAAAGGAGUUUCAGUCGCUGGCAAACUAACAGAAAGGAAAACCCAAAAUCCCGUGCCGAACCUGGAUGGUGGAAGCCGCCGGAUGGGGAAGAUCUGAAACUCAACAUCGACGCUUCGUGGCUCCCAGGCGAGUUUCUCUGCUCAAUCGCCGGAAUCAUCCGCGAUUCGAAUGGGUUGGUGGUCGCGGGUUUCGCCUGCGAAGCUAGG
rnacentral:lncRNA from 1 species